UACGUAGGGACCGAGCGUUGUCCGGAAUCAUUGGGCGUAAAGGGCCAGUAGGCGGCCAACUAAGUCCGACGUGAAAUCCCCAGGCUUAACCUGGGAACUGCGUCGGAUACUGGAUGGCUUGAAUUCGGGAGAGGGAUGCAGAAUUCCAGGUGUAGCGGUGAAAUGCGUAGAUAUCUGGAGGAAUACCGGUGGCGAAGGCGGCAUCCUGGACCGACAUUGACGCUGAACGGCGAAAGCUAGGGAGCAAACAGG
rnacentral:rRNA from 1 species